rnacentral:snoRNA from 2 species
CCCUUCUCAGGAUCACAUCUGGAGAGUUUCCAGUACUCUACCAGUCUCGGCUACAGGAGGGAGAGUCAGGCAGAGGCAUAUCCAUUCCAUUCCUAGCUUGGGCAGUGUCUAGCGAGUGGAAGGUAAUCUGCUACAAGU